rnacentral:lncRNA from 1 species
CUCACAACUUUCAUACAUGUCUUUUUAGUGCAUUCCUCUUUGUGUUUGUUACCAUUUGGUACAAAUUCAAGUGCUUUCUUAAAUGGAGUCUUCUUAGCCUUUAUUGCAGAUGCAUGUGACAUCUUAAUCAAUAACCCGGCCCUCUAUUCUUUGAUUGGUACUUGUCCUACUUCCUUCAGUCUAUUCAUUUCUGAAAGUUUUCCUUUGUCAUAUGGCAUGCUCACCUAUUUAUUCCACAUCCUUACAACCUAUGUGGUUGCCCUGGAUGGAUGCCAUGUAGAUGAACAGGAUGAAUGGUACUUGACAAAUCAACAUGUGACAUCUGACAGACCGGAUGGAGUUCAACCAAGGUAGGCUGAAUGGUCAUUGGAAGCAUAAGGGUAUAGGUCGAGCGAUGUUCAAGAAUCGGGUACAUAGUUAAUCUAGUCCAGCGGUGUGUGAAAACUAGACCUUCGGCCCGGUGACAAUGGUUCCACGACAUGGGGGAAUAUAUGAGUAGUUGUUGGAACGAGAAAAGUGGGAGUCAUCGGACGUAACUGUCACGCCCCCGCCUCUGCGAGGCACGUGAGGCACCUAGUGCCCACGUGGGGGCCACAUGAGGGGGGGAACACGGGGCUCCCCUGCCAGAUAUUGUCCGGUUCUGGGGCUUCACGCAAGCGUCCUUCACCCCUCCCCGGUUUUGUUUUCCUCCCAAAACGCGUCUGCAGGAUUAGGAGACACCCGCCUCAUAUGCCCAGGCUCUGGAACGAGUCUUUUCGAUGUGGGACUAUUGGGCCUCACAGUAACUACAAGAAUCACUGGAGAUAUGUGGGGAACAAAUGUGGACAUUUAUUGAUACUGAGAGUUGAUGGCUACCUAAUCAUUUAGAAUUAUGCUGUAUAAAUAUGAAAAAGAAACCUUGAGUAAGGACUUUUUUGGCCAAUCAAACACCUAUCGCUGAUCUUUAUCUUUAUCUUUACUUUAUCCUUGCAUUUAGCCUUAAUUUACUUGCUUUAUUUAUCUCGCUUUAUCCUAGUUUAUCCGGAGUUCUUAGAGUAGAAUCUUAGCCCUGGUUACAACCUACCUCCUCAUUUUUUGAGUAGGCAAUGUUACAGUGGUGAAUGUCCUUGAAACUCAAGGUAUUAGGACCAUGCUACCAACCCUUUACCCUCACUUCUUUCUGGUUUUGACACUAGUGGCAUGCCCAAGCACUUGCAUGAACCUGCUAAGGAUACGCAUGCUGUUUCCUCCCCCAGCGGAGAAUCCAGCAGCCAACACCACCAUAACAUUCUGUGCAUGUGAUGAACUCUUUCUGUGGCAGCAUUCAGAUUGCCUCAGAAUUUUAGGCCAUAUGGUGUUCUUGUAAAAUUUCAUAGUCUUGAAAAGGCAUGUGACAAUUACACUUUGCUUUCUACUUCAUCCUUCAUUAGUUAUAUUAGGUUUAGGUCAAUGUUCUAUAUCAUAGUGGAUACAAAGAGAGAUCUAUUUUUUCAAAAACAUAUAGAAGAAGUAGCAAAAAUGUCCUGAUGAGCUAUGACCUAAGCUUCUAUUCUAAGUGAGACCUCUUUUCCUUGCUAUAAGCAUUCCUUAACUUAGUUCUCUUUCCCCUUAUUCACUUUAAAUUUUUCCUCCAUAAUUUCACAAUGGCAUUCAUGAUUCGUCUCUUAUCAUCAUGAAACUUACAUGAUUAGACCUAAAUAUCAUUAAUAUCUUCAUCUGUGGCAUGUGUAAAAAAGAUAUUGACUUAAACCAUCCUUCAUGUAGCUCAUGACAAUUUGAUAUUUAUUUUGCUGCAAUUAUUUUUUAACACCCCUCCCACUAUUUUUUCAUGCUAUCCGGAACAAAUUUAAUGUCCUUUCAGUACACCUUCUUGAUGCAUGAAUGGCUAAAAUCUGAAGAGCUGGAGAUUGACCCUAAAGUUACUAACUUGUCUUCUUAUUUUUUAUGCUCACUGCUGAUCCUUAAUGUGUAAACUUGAUGAAUUAACUUUAAUUUGGUAUGGUUUUUAUUUUUCCACACUAUGCUUUUCCCAAGUCAUAAAGACCUUGUGCAGAUUCUUCAACAUCUUGAAUUUUUCAUCAGUUUUUAUAGCAAGAAAUAGUUUCGAUGGAUUCCUAAAUAUCUUUUUCCUCCUAAAUUACCUUCCCUUAUUAUUUGAAAAAUAUGACUUAAAAUUGAAUAAAACAAAACUUAUCAAUGUGCAUCUUGAUACAUCUUCAAUAAAUUAGAAUUAACCUUACUCUCAAACUGCUAUUGAGUAUGCCAGUUAACCAAAUUAACCUAGUUUUCCCAUGAUAUUUUGGACUGUGCUUGAUAUUUCAUUUACUCUGACAUCUUCCCUUCAAGUUUCAAGUUUCGACUCUCGACCAUGCCAAACCAUGCAAUCCUGUGUAGUGUAUUCCAUGCCGUAUGAACUUGUAUUAACAUAGAGGGAUCGUCCGUUUUAGUGAACCAUGACUAGAUAUGGGGGAUAUAUCAUGUCUUGUACUGUUCUGGUACAUGAAAGCUAGAGGGGCAUACUAUGAUAUUUGAAACCUUGCUCCCCUCAUCGUGUCAUUUUUUAAAAGACUGUAGUUCUCUAUUACUUAUGCUAGCAAGCAUGCAACUCUAUUUAAUUGUGAUGUUUUAAGGUAUGUUCCUUUGCUGUAACUGCAGACUUGUAAAUGAUCGGUCCUGACCUGAUCUAGAAUCCUAGAUACGACCCUUUGUAAAAUCUAAUACCCUGCAUUGGGUUUUGCUAGCAUUGGUGGUUUCUGAUCUAAUCUGACUUGACUUAGCUUAAUUUACUCAUGUUUGAGCGCCUCAUUAAAUUUAGACAUGACUUGAAUCCAUUGAGUAAAUAGGUAGUCUCAUCAUAGUUCCAAGACCAAUUUGGAUCAUGUCAGAGAUUUGAUCCACCCGCUUGAACCGUUACCUAGAUAUUUGCUUUCUCCCUCUACCUAGAUAUAUGCUUUCUCCCUCUAGGCUAAAUGUUUAUCCAACCAUCUUCUUGCAAAAGUGCUUCUAUCUUCUCCUUUAAAUCACUAUUGCUCCAUUUCUUUCUUGUCCUUUUAUACAAAGAUGGGCAUGUUGCUAUCAACAAUCUCCUUGUUGUUCUUAUUAUCAUUUAUUAUUAAUCAUAUCAUCUAAGUAGAGUUUGUCUGUGCAAACACACUUGUUCAGAUCCUUGCUUAUUUCAGUAUGCGUUAAGUUUAUUUUAUUCUGCUUGGACAUGCUAUUCACAGAUCAUAUAAUUACUUACCUUCAGAGCUGCCACCUCUAUCAUGUAUAUUAUAUUGUGUGGCAGGGCUGUUUAGUGGAGUGAAUACCUUGGAUAUGAACUUAAACUAACCCAAAAGCAACAAAACCCAGGGCUUUGACUUGUUGAUUAAAUCUGAUCCUGUAAAUUAGACCCACUUACUAUGAUUGUCAGUUUGAUUCUAACCAGAAUCAGCCUAUUGAUAAGGAACCAACCAUUUUAGUUCAGAAGAUAUGCUAGAUGCAAAAGAUCAUUAGGUGCAGGUCUUGGCGCAAGUGAAACUUUUUCUUCUUUCUUCUCUGAUCGAUAUCUCCACCAGAGUCCCAGAUCCAAUUAAACCAGACUCAGUGCAGUCCAAAAAGUUAGAUAAUAAUAAAAGCCGGCUUGAUCUAAGCUGGUUCAAAUUUCAUUGUGUUUGGAAAAAAAAUCUAGAUAUUCUUUCCAUAUGAGUGAGUUAAGGAUCAUGCUUGAUGCCCUCCUGUGCCAACCUGCUUGCAACCCUCCUCAUUAGCCAUGCAGAAAUGGGUUCAUACCGUAGAUCUUUCCACAAAUAGGCACUUUUAUGAAAAUGGAUGGUGCUGAACACUGUUCAAUGAACAGUUUGAUCUCUUAGUUUCCAACAAUCCAUUCCAUCAUCCUCAGUUAUACGAUAACUGGUUUUCAAUUAUACUGGACAGCAAGACAGCCUUAGGAGGGUUCUGCAGUCCCUGUAAAAUACCUUGUGUAUGGAUCUCCCAUCUCUAGGAUUAGUUAGGUGCUUACUUUAGACCAUCUUUUUGAUUAUACCAUACAUGAACCACCCACACAGGUAACAUUACCGUCCAUAAAUCGGAUCACUUUGUACAGCCUGCAAAAUUAAAGCUAAAUCCAAGAAAUGUUCAUCAAUCAAAUAACUACAUAGAUCCAUUCAGUGCAACUGGAUGGAGUUCAGGACCAGGGUAGGGUACCAUUAGGGGACCAUGAACCCUGACUACAAACAAUUUUGGAGUGGUCUAGACCUGUACUCUAAUUAGAAUGAUUCGUAGUUAUGGAAUCAUAUCAUGAUCUACUGAACAAAAAUUAUGCAUUUAAAAAACCAUCAAGUUAAUUUUUAAACGAAAAUUGUGUAUAAAGAACUCAACAAAUUGAUGGCUAAACAAUAACAGCCUGUAGUCUCUAAUUGUAGACAAAAACUAAUGAUAUGUCACGGGAUCAUGAUUCCUGACCAGAUUUCCGUAUCAGACUCAUCAUCAAUUAUCUGAUAAUUAGAAUCGUCAGUAUUGGACACCAUGCACCUAAUAUAUAGAAGCCGAUCUGCUAGAAAACCGCUAUGCUGAAAUUUAGGCCUUGGUUUCAUCUACAGGGAAUCCAAUUUGCAUAAAAUGAACCUGCAAUAAAAUAUAUUUGUGUAUUAGAUAAAUAACUGUUGUACUGAUCUAUUCCCUCUAAUAGAAUACCCAUUGAUAACUCUUUGCGAGGUACAUACUAUUAUUAUUUGAUUAUGCAGUGAGAAUGCAUGCUUAAGUUGGACUUCCAUUUGAUGACUGUUCAGAAAAACAUCUCCUCUGUUCCUAUGCUUGUUAAUUUGUGCUACUAAUGAGAAAAAUAGAUGGAUAAUAUCAAACUGCAAAAGGGUCCAUGUUGGGUAAUAAAGACAGCUUCCUUCUUUUAAAGAGUAGCUAAUAUGCAAUAUGCAACCUACAAAGCUACACAUCAAGAAUGGGAAAGGUCUUAAAAUUGUUAAAAAUUUAUAUGAAGAAAUUAGUAUUCUGAUGGAUAAAUGAGGCCUUUGGUUGAAGGCAGGGAACUGAAAUAUUUGACUUGCUUGGUAACAACUGAAUGACGCCAAAAUGGUAAAUAUCUUGUAAGGAAUGAACAAUGACAGAUAGCUAGAGGUUUAAACCGAAUAGAAUGUUAAAUACCAUAAAUUAGAAUAUAGUUCACCCAAUGGAAGGCUAUAUUAAUUGGGAGAAGUGACAUUCACAUAAACUGAAUGAACGUGUCUCUGCUUAGUUAAUUUUGAUGAUUGGUAUACAUUGUUGUGUGCAUGUUGAUCUGUUGUAGGUCCACCUCCUAUCUACAUGAUAAUUUGAUAGCAAGCAUAAGGAUUUAAUGAGGACUUUUUCGUUUACUGAAAAUAGUUCCUGUGAUUGUGAAUAGAUGUUUGCCAGGUUUGAUUGACAAAGUUAUAUUACCGCUGAUCAAACACCCUCAACUAUUUAUGACGUAGUUAUUCCAAAAUAAUAUUUCUAAGGAAAGAAAACAAUAAAAACUACGACCUUUUGAAAUUGAGGACGUUAGCAUGUAAGUUAUUAAUUUGAGACGUGCUAUUUGGUAGAUGUUAGUCUUGAUCAAACUUCUAUGUGCCAAAGUGAAGAACAAGUUAAACAUGGAGGAACUAUUUGAACUUAAUUGUGUUUAUUGUUUUUAAAUGUCAAGUGGAAUUUGCUUAAUUAAUUAAUCAUUCUAAUAGACUUGCGCUAACCCCUUUUAGGGAAUAAGGUCAUUGCUAGUGGCAGUUGGGCCUAUAAAGAGACAGUAGUUGCUGGCCCAAUAAUUACAAUAUUCAGUAGCUUACAGACAUUAUAUAGCAUAUAAGUAUUCCUAGGCAUAACAUCAACUGCUAUAUCAAUUAGAGAAACAAUUGAUUGAUACAUACUGAAGAUAAAGAAUUCCUCUGGAGUUAGGCAUAAUGGUUAGGAAAACCCAGCACCAAGGGAAGUUGUUUAUUGAGAAAUGUACUCAGCUUUGUAUGCUACUGGCUUUUAUCUUGUUUUUUUUAAAAAUGUUUUUAUCAUAGCAGGAGGUUGGAUACUCCAAUCCAAGAAUUUCACUACAAAAUACUUAAACCCCUUUAUUAUGCCAUUAAGGUAGAAUAUGAGAUAUUGUGGAAUGGCUUAUGUUCAUAUUCGGCAAGUUUUUUUUUCAUAUCUAGUUUAUUUAUUCAGUUGUGGGGUUCAUGCUUGUCAAUUCUGUGUUAUUCUACUUUAAGGAUUGAUGUUUGUCUUUUCUUUUUUGAUGUUGUUAUAUGCCCUCUCAAAAAUAAUUAGGAAACAUGAAUUUGCAGAACAAGAGGUUAGAUGAGGAGUUGAAACGCUACUAUUCUUCAAUUUAGCUGAACAAGAUAAUUAGAUAACUUUCCAUUACUGUGAUGAUCUAAUUCUUAAUUUCUUAUUCCCAUCUUUUCUAUUGUUAUGAUUGUAAUUAUUUCACUAUGAUUCUCUUUCCACAUAUUUUUCCUAUUAAUUGCCAUUAAUGACAUCAGGAUGGAUUAGUAACUAGGAUCCAACCCAUGACAUGGACAGUGCCAGACUCAGGUCAUAACCACUAGGCUGUGAUGGUUCAACCCCUCAAGAAAGACUGCACUAACAUCUUAGCCUGUUGUUUUCGUUGAAAUGGUAAAGAUAUGAUGAAAUUAGCAUUAGAUUUGCAAGGCCCCACAUUUAAUAUAAUACUGAUUAACAGUUGUAGGACUUAAUAGUCUAGAAAGGGCUAGUUGGUUUCAAAUAAUGACUCAAAUACGACUCACGUGCACGGAUGCUAUACACUUUUGCAGGUAUUGAUUCCCUUCCUUAAAUACUGGUCUCUGUGUUUUAUAUCCAAAAUUUCAACUUUGCGCUAGUUUAAAUAUGCUAAUCCAUUACAACCUUAUGCAAAAGACAAAACCUUCCACUUAUCUAAGAUUUUAACUGAUUAUUUUAAGCAUUUCAUUUUGGAAUAUGAUGUCUUACUCAAGUGUACUCUCUUGUUAUUUUAUGAAGAGUACGCAAGAAAGAAAUAGUAGAUACAGGGAAACAUCUUAUUGGUUAGCCUUUUUCAUACUCUUUUUUUUUUUUGAUUUGGUACACAGCAGUUUAUCACGAAUUCUUACUGGUUGUAGCAUGAGAUGCAAUUUAAUUGACCAGUUACUGUUUAUGUUUGGAAAUGGAGAGACAUGGUUAGAAACCAAGUCUACAAGGAAAUCAAUUGUUUAGUUCAGCCUUUAUAAAUAAUUUUUCUAUCAUUAGAUGGGUGACAUAAGAGAUCUACAAUGAACGAUCUACACCCUCAUUUAUAUAACAUUUCCUCGUGCGAGGGUGGUCCAUCCGACAAGGAACCUUAAUCGAGGAAGCAACCCUCCAAAAUAUCAAAUACCCUAGCUUUGGUGGAGUGAGUGAUUAGGUUUUCCUCCAAUAUUGGGUUUAGCUUAUUGCUUAGCUUGUCGCCGACACCAAAUGAUGCAAGUGUAAGAGCAAAAAAUAUAUGCAUGCAAAAGAAAGCAAAGAGGAAAAAUGAAAAGUAGAAAACCCUUUUCCUUUUGCUGUCCUCAUGCAUUGACUCUUAGUGGCAAGGGAUGCCACCAUCCUCUUAGGCUCUGUUUAUAAGUUGGCGUUUAAAGUUUUUCUGUUGAAACAAACUGUAGUGUUGAGUAAUUUUGAAGAAAACCAUUGUCAUCCAGAUGAGACUUGGAACUUUGAGGAUAUAUUUAGAAUACUUGUCUACCUUCAAGCAACCAAUUGAUAAAACAACCAACUUCCAAGUCUUCCCCACUGUUGUAGGACUGUGGAGGAAAUGCAGAGGAAGAAGAGAGAUCAAAAGCAAGGCAGGUCUCUACAAGAAAGGAUUGCCACAGUUUCUGGAUACAAUUCAACCCAGAAUAAAUAUUGUGGCGAAUAUUUUUUGAAAGUGCUGAUGGUUGUUUGAGCUUGUGGAUAGGGAUAAAGUGCAUCAGCAAUGAAGAAUGUCCUAAUUGAGGGGAUUGAUCAAGGUGGUGGAGGAGAUUUUGGUUGUUGGCUGCACCAACUCCGUUGCUAACCCUGCCACAUUGUCAAAAAGGGUGUCACCAUCUGCUUGUUUCAAUCUCAUGAACAUUAUUGCAAUUACUGCUGAUGGUAUGCAUUUGAUUCGAGAUGACUAAACUGAUUCUGCAGCCUAAGCUGCAUAUAGCUCAUCAAAGACUAUUCCUAUUUUUGAGGAUUAAUUAUUCUUUUGGUUCGUUGGUGACAAUUUGACUCUAGUCACACAUCAUCAUCACAUUGUUGUCACUAUUACCUGAUUCAGAUCUUAAGAUUUGUUGGCAAUAGCAUGAAGUUCUGAAAUAGAUUCCAACCCCAAUCAGUUCAUGAUUGUAGCAGAGAGUCCAAAAACACUUACGCUUUUAAAAAGGGAUUUGGUUCAGCACUUGUUUUUUUUCUUACAUAUUUGUUACUGUAUCAUAUCAUUCCCUUCUUUUCUCAUUUACCCGUGUGAAACCAGUCGUUCUCAUAUCCAACUACUCUCAUCUAUGUGAGUCUAUGAUGUCUAACCCCCCUAGCCCCGUUAUAAACUUAUAUUUCUCACAUCCUCUUGUUACCAAGUGCCCUUGGGAACUUUCCAUCCUUCCCAUUUCUUUGAACAAAGUGAUCUCAUAUAACUGUAGCUGUUGUCCCUGCUAACAAAAACUCCUUGUACUCCUUAUUUCGAGGGAAGGAGACAUUAUUACCAAAAGGAAAAAUUAGGGAAUAUGGCAUUUGGGAAUGACAAAUUAUGGAGAGGAUAUCAUUAAGAUUUGAGGAAUAUUAGCAUAUCCCCCAUCAAAACCUUUGGAGGCCAACUGGCUGUGAAUUAGGAACUAUCAUUGUAAACUCCUGUUCAGCCCAAAGAAAACAAGUUGCUCAAAAUUAUACGUAUAAUUUCGAGCCUAUGAGAGGAGUGGUUGGUUGGAGUGGGAAAACUGUCACGUCCCUGUGGAACAAUGACCGCCGCCGGGACCCAUCCUCCUAAGAAGUGGAUAAGCUGCUGGAGAGCAACAGCAAAUUCAGAACAAUGGGCAGCCAAUGAGUCAGUAUCACCCACGAGUUCUUUUCAGAUCUCUCUGGGUCCCAUUUCAGUUUGAUGUUAAAUGUACAUGUGUGAGCUGCUGAUUAGUGGUGCAUGGUGUUUGUCUGUUGAACAUAACAGUGCUCGAUUUUGCUGUAACAAUUUCCUUGCAAGCUGCAUUUUGUUUGGGCAAUGUGGGGUCAUCAAAGCAGUUCUCGUUCUUUUAAAUUUAGAUGUCUGUAAGCCCAAAGUGGUGCAGCCCCUACCAUUUUGGCUCCUUUGAAAUCAGUUCUUUGCCUGCUCUUUGUAAUCCUAAGAGUGCUGGGAGGGUCUAUAUACAAACAUUAUUAUAUGGUCGAUGACGGUAUUCAUUCACCUAAUUGUUUGAUACUCUAUACAUGGCUUCUGAGAUGAUAAUAUCAAGGAGCUAGCACAUGAAACUUCUUGCCAACC